AAACUAUAGUAAAAGAAUAAGGAAGUGAUGAGUUUUGUGCAUUCAUUACCUUUAUUGUUCAUAAAAUCUUAA